rnacentral:rRNA from 1 species
AUUGACCUCGGAUCAGGUAGGGAUACCCGCUGAACUUAAGCAUAUCAAUAAGCGGAGGAAAAGAAACCAACAGGGAUUGCCUCAGUAACGGCGAGUGAAGCGGCAACAGCUCAAAUUUGAAAUCUGGCCCCGUCGGGGUCCGAGUUGUAAUUUGUAGAGAGUGUUUCGGGUGAGACCGCGGUCUAAGUCUAUUGGAACAUGGCGUCAUAGAGGGUGAGAAUCCCGUAUGUGACCGUGGUUCGAGCCCAUGUGAAGCCUCUUCGACGAGUCGAGUUGUUUGGGAAUGCAGCUCAAAAUGGGUGGUAAAUUUCAUCUAAAGCUAAAUACUGGCUGGAGACCGAUAGCGCACAAGUAGAGUGAUCGAAAGAUGAAAAGCACUUUGGAAAGAGAGUCAAAAAGUACGUGAAAUUGUUGAAAGGGAAGCGCUUGCAACCAGACCUGUCCGUAGGUGAUCAGCCGCUGUUCUCAGCGGUGCACUCGCUCUGCGAUCAGGCCAGCAUCGGUUUCGGCGGUCGGAUAAAGGCCUUGGGAAUGUAGCUUCCUUCGGGGAGUCUUAUAGCCCUCGGUGCAAUGCGGCCAGCCGGGACCCA